rnacentral:rRNA from 1 species
UACGGAGGGUGCAAGCGUUAUCCGGAUUUAUUGGGUUUAAAGGGUGCGUAGGCGGGAAGCUAAGUCAGUGGUGAAAUCUCUCGGCUCAACCGAGAAACUGCCAUUGAUACUGGUUUUCUUGAAUUUGAUUGAAGUGGGCGGAAUAUGACAUGUAGCGGUGAAAUGCUUAGAUAUGUCCUAGAACACCGAUAGCGAAGGCAGCUCACUAAGUCAACAUUGACGCUGAGGCACGAAAGCGUGGGGAGCGAACAGGAUUAGAUACCCUGGUAGUCCACGCUGUAAACGAUGAUCACUUGCUAUUGGCGAUAUACAGUCAGUGGCGAAGCGAAAGUAAUAAGUGAUCCACCUGGGGAGUACGAUCGCAAGGUUGAA